rnacentral:rRNA from 1 species
GGACUACCGGGGUUUCUAAUCCCGUUCGCUCCCCGAGCUUUCGCAUCUCAGCGUCAGUGAUGGCCCAGUAGGCCGCCUUCGCCACCGGUGUUCCUCCUGAUCUCUACGCAUUUCACCACUACACCAGGAAUUCCACCUACCUCUGCCAUCCUCAAGACUGCCAGUUUAGAGCGACCCCUCCCAGUUAGGCCGGGAGAUUUCACGCCCUACUUAACAGCCCGCCUGCAUGCGCUUUACGCCCAGUAAUUCCGGAUAACGCUUGCCUCGUACGUAUUACCGCGGCUGCUGGCAC